AUGUGAGCAUGGUGACGUGGUCACACAGCAACAGCAAUAAGGAGCUGAAGCAGGAGAACUCAGCUUUGGCAGAGCAGCUUCAAGUUGUACUGAUUGACAAGGCAGGGAUGCAGUGUGACUUGGAGGAGCUGAAAAAGAAACUGGAACUCACUGAGCUCACGCUUCAACAGUUAUCUAGCUGGUGUGAAGCCCCUGAUGCUAACCAGCAGUUACAGCAGCCCACAGACGAACGGGCACAGCUGGAAGCACACCUGGGGCAGGUGAUGGAGUGGCUGAAGUAUCUGCAAAUGGAGAGAGAGCAGUAUGCCGAGUAUCUGCAUGGAGAGAGUGCCAUGUGGUGGCAGAGGAUGCGGGAGAUGUCAGAGCAGGUGCACACGUUGAGGGAGGAGAGAGUGCACAGCAUGAGUCGAGUACAGGAGCUGGAGACGAUCUUGGCUGAACUAAGGAACCAGCUGAACCCCUGCCCCCGGAGCCUCCAGCAGGGCCCUCCGAAGUGGAGCAGAAGCUACAAGCAGAGGCUGAGCACCUGUGGAAGGAGCUGGAGAAUCUGGCAGGACAGCUUCAAGCCCAAGUGGAAGAAAAUGAGGGCUUGAGUCACCUGAACCAAGAGCAGGAAGAGGUUGCUCAGGUUGUUGGAGCAAGAGGAGAAGUUGCUGGAGCAAGAGGAGAGGUUGCUGGAGCAAGAGGAGAGGUUGCUGGAGCAAGAGGAGAGGCUACUGGAGCUGCAGGAGAGCCUGCUAGAGCAGAAGCGGAAGGCCGCUUCCUUUCUCAGCUGAACCCCUACCCGGAGCCCCCAGCAGGGCCCUCCGAGGUGGAACAGCAGCUACAAGCAGAGGCUGAACACCUGCGGAAGGAGCUGGAGAAUCUGGCAGGACAGCUUUAAGCCCAAGUGGAAGAAAAUGAGGGCUUGAGUCGCCUGAACGAAGAGCAGGAAGAGGUUGCUGAGAUUGUUGGAACAAGACGAGAGGUUGUUGGAGCAAGAGGAGAGGUUGCUGGAGCAAGAGGAGAGGUUGCUGGAGCUGCAGGAGAGGCUGCUAGAGCAGAAGCGGAAGGCCGCUUCCUUUCUCAGCUGAACCCCUACUCCCGGAGCCCCCAGCAGGGCCCUCCGAGGUGGAGCAGCAGCUACAAGCAGAGGCUGAACACCUGCGGAAGGAGCUGGAGAAUCUGACAGGACAGCUUUAAGCCCAUGUGCAAGAAAAUGAGGGCUUGAGUCGCCUGAACCAAGAGCAGGAAGAGGUUGCUGGAGCAAGAGGAGAGGAUGCUGGAGCAAGAGGAGAGGCUGCUGGAGCUUGAGUGGAAAGCCGAGCCUUGAGAGGAGCAGGUGGAGGCGCUCAGGCAUACCGUGCGGAACGACCGUACCACCAUCAGGCGCGCGCUCUCCCAGAAACACGAACUGAAGAACCAGUGCUGAGGUCUUCUGCAGCAGUACUAUCAGCAGCUGAUCUCUGAGGAGGAGGCACUGCACAGGCAGUUAUUUCUGCAGAUCCAGCUCGUGGACCAGCUGCAGCACCAGAGAAAAGAGUAGCAGAGAUGGCCUGCCAAGAGUUGCAGGAGACCCAGGAAAGGGAGUUGCUGAGGGCAGGUCCCCGAGGGGGAUGAGACCUGGCAACAUCCAUGCCUUCUCAUUCUCUUUCCUGACCCCUUAGGAGCGCCUGGAAGCAGAACCAGUAGCUACAGGCCCAGAGAUGGACUGGAGAGUGAGGAGGAGGAGGAGCCUUGGUCCAUGCUGAGCAUCCUGGAGGACCUGGAGAGCUGGGAGACCAUGAUGAGCCUGACUCCCCAUGCCCCACCUUUGCUUCCUCCCUCUCUCCUCCCUCCCAGACACCCUUAUGCUCUUGGUUUUUCUGCCUUCUGAUUUCUUUGGACCCUCACCCCUUCCCUGGGAGCCAGUGGUCAGACACCAUUUCACCUGAGACCAAUAGGUGCACCCUCUGAGGCCCCAAGGGAAGGGCUUCUCUCUACUGCCCUGGCCCGUUCAUCCUGUGUAUCCCCCUACAAGAAUGGGCACCUCCUGCCCGCAGGUGGCAUUUUAAAACUUGGCUUUAGCCAGUGCCGAAGAGGAGCAGGCACAGCUACAUGGGCAGCUGAAGGAGCAAAGGGUGCACUGCCAGCGCCUGUCUUACCCGGUGGCCUUGGCCCAGAAGGAGCCAGAGGCAGCAGCCUCAGCCCCAGGGACUGGGGGCGAUUCUGUGUGGGGAAACCCACCGGACCUUGCAGGGGACCAUGGGGAAGCUGCAGAGCCGCUUUAUGGAGCUCAUGCAGGAGAAUGAGCGGGUGGAGAAACUGGAAUGUCGCUGCAUUCAGCUGUCUGGACAAACAGACACCAUCAGUGAGCGAGAGGAAAGUACGUCACAUCAUACCAGAGCCAGAGGUCAGUGCUGAAGACGUGGACCGGGAGAAUGAGUACAUAAGCAGGCUGGCUCAGGACAAGGAGGAGAUGAAGGUGAAGCUGCUGGAGCUGGUGUUGCAGCUUGUGGGCGACUGCAACAAGUGGCAUGGCAGAUUCCUGGCAGCUGCCCAGAACCCUGCUGAUGAGCCUGCUCCAUGGGACCCAGCCCCCCAGGAGAUUGGGGCUGCCAACAAGCAGGGUGAUCUCCCACAGUGUGGAGCCUGAACAAGAAGAGGCUGGGGAGGGUUUUCCCCACGACAGCCCCACGGCACAGCAGAUCAUGCGGCUGCUUCAUGAGAUGCAGAACCCCCAGGAGCGCCCAGGCUUGGGCAGCAACCCCUGCAUCCCCAUUUUUUACUGAGCUCAGGAGAGCAAGAUGAAGGUAACAAUCAUCUAAAAGCCAGCCACUGUCAGCAAAGCCUGGAGAAAUGGGACCAGAGAGUCUGCCCCUACCACGUCCCUGCCACCCCUUCCCAGUUACCCCUUUACCCUUACAGUAGCAAAAUAAGACCCCUAUCUAGUGAGGGAGACAGGUGCAGAUGAGGUGAAGAUCACUGUCAUCUAAAAGCAGGCCACCAAAUUUAAAAAAAAAAAGUUAUGGGAAAAAAUUUAUGGGAUU
rnacentral:lncRNA from 1 species